UAUUGGUCAAUGGAGGCAACUCUGAACCAGCCAUGCCGCGUGCAGGAAGACAGCCCUCUGGGUCGUAAACUGCUUUUAUUCGGGAAUAAACCUGCUUACGUGUAAGUAGCUGAAUGUACCGAAGGAAUAAGGAUCGGCUAACUCCGUGCCAGCAGCCGCGGUAAUACGGAGGAUCCAAGCGUUAUCCGGAUUUAUUGGGUUUAAAGGGUGCGUAGGCGGCUUUUUAAGUCAGGGGUGAAAGACGGUGGCUCAACCAUCGCAGUGCCCUUGAUACUAAGAGCUUGAAUAAUAAGGCAGGCGGAAUGUACAAGAGCGGUAAAUGCAAGUUGUCACAGACACCAUUGCAAGGAGCUUCAUGUUUUUAGCGUGGACAGUUCAUCUG
rnacentral:rRNA from 1 species